AAAAGUUUCGGUCUAUAAGGCGUAAAACCCUCUAUAGGCCGUGAACCCCCCACCCUUGUGUAUUAUUUAUUUGUUGCUUUGGCAGGCCGCGAGCUUUACAGCGAGCACCGGCUUCGGCUGGAGAGUGCCUGCCAGAGGACCCAACUCUGUAUUUUAGUGACAUCUGAGUACUAUAUAAUAGUUA
rnacentral:misc_RNA from 1 species